ACGCUGGCGGCGUGCCUAAUACAUGCAAGUCGAGCGGACCAAUAGAAAAGCUUGCUUUUCUUGAGGUUAGCGGCGGACGGGUGAGUAACACGUGGGCAACCUACCUGUAAGACUGGGAUAACUUACGGAAACGUGAGCUAAUACCGGAUAGUUUCACUUCUCGCAUGAGAAGUGAAGGAAAGAUGGCUUUUAGCUAUCACUUACAGAUGGGCCCGCGGCGCAUUAGCUAGUUGGUGGGGUAAAGGCCUACCAAGGCAACGAUGCGUAGCCGACCUGAGAGGGUGAUCGGCCACACUGGGACUGAGACACGGCCCAGACUCCUACGGGAGGCAGCAGUAGGGAAUCUUCCGCAAUGGACGAAAGUCUGACGGAGCAACGCCGCGUGAGCGAAGAAGGUCUUCGGAUCGUAAAGCUCUGUUGUUAGGGAAGAACAAGUACCGG
rnacentral:rRNA from 1 species